GACGAACGCUGGCGGCAGGCCUAACACAUGCAAGUCGAGCGGAGCGGCGGACGGGUGAGUAAUGCCUAGGAAUCUGCCUGGUAGUGGGGGAUAACGUCCGGAAAAGGGCGCUAACACCGCAUACUAUCAGAUGAGCCUAGGUCGGAUUCGCUAGUUGGUGGGGUAAAGGCAUACCAAGGCGACGAUCCGUAACUGGUCUGAGAGGAUGAGCAGUCACACUGGAACUGAGACACGGUCCAUACUCCGACGGUAGGCAGCAGUGGGGAAUAUUGGACAAUGGGCUAAAGCCUGAUCCAGCCAUGCCGCGUGUGUGAAGAAGGUCUUCGGAUUGUAAAGCACUUUAAGUUGGUAGGCGUUACCAACAGAAUAAGCACCGGCUAACUUCGUGCCAGCAGCCGCGGUAAUUC
rnacentral:rRNA from 1 species